UGGCCAUUUAGGCCUCCAUUUCUUCAGAUCUCGUUCUCGCCGACUCCUCCAUUUCCUCUCAUCCAAGUCUGAGACAAUAGCCGACCGCCAUUUUCUCUCCUCCAUUUCUGCCGUGAGAGACAUCGCCAUUUCAAUCCUCUCCUCCUCAAACAAGAGGAGACCAUAGCCGAUCUGAGAUUUUCUUUAGAUCUGCCGUCGCCGCUCCUCCUCAAACGAGAUAGCCGAUGCCUCCAUUUCCUCUCCUCCAAGUCUAAGACCACAGCCGACCGCCGUUUCCUCUCCAUUUCUGCUGCCAACAGAUCUAAAGCCACAGCCACGCCUCUAACGUUCAGCCGUCGCCGCCAACAGAUCUGCAUCUCCUUUUAUGAGAAUAUGGUCAUUUGCUUUGAAGAUAUGGAUUCUGGGAGAUGCUUGAAAGAACAUCCAAGUGGGGAUAACAAUUAUACCACAAAAAUGCGCAUUAUUGACUUUGGGAGUGCACUGGAUUGGAUGACUUCACAUUGAAGCAUUUGUAUGGCUCUGUUGGACCUUCAAGGGCUGAACAAACUUGUGAAUAUACUCCACCUGAGGCUUUUCUUAAUGCCAGCUGGUACUAGGGGCCAACUUCAGCAAGUCUUAAUGCCAGCCGAAAAUGGAAACACAGACCAGAUCUCAGCUGAAGCCCUCCUCGUCUCACCUUCGUCGAUCUCCUCCAUCUCUCAGCCGACGCCGAUGCCGCAAACUGCCGCGACCUGCAGUAGACGCCACCCGCCGACGCUGCCAUUCCGUCUCGACCUGCUAGCCUCCGCCACGCCACUGCUAGCCUCCACCACAGAUGGCUGUUGUCUUAUGCAAAUGCAAAAUGUUUCUAGCAGGGUUGAAAAACUUUAUGCAUGAACCUGAGUACAUUCUUGAAUUGAAGCUACAGAUAAGUCAAAAUCAAAGUGCAAGGCUGAGGGGGGAAGGUUCAAGAGAUAGUGAUUCUUUAGAUGCAAAGUGAUGAAUUUGAGAAGCAUGGAAGGUUUGCAGAGGAGCGAUCGUAGGAUUCAGUUCAAGGGUUUUGUGGGUUUUACGAAUCCAAGUGAUUGAUUAGAUGGCCUGCUGAGAGCGCGCUUAUAGUAGAAUUCGUAGUUUUCAUCCUUAUGUAUUCUUUUGGAUUUUAUUGAAUUCAGACUUAUUUGGUUUUGGUAUUGUAAGGACCUAUAUUUUGAGAAUUUUGGUUUAGCCUUACAUCUAGCUACAGUUAGUUUAGAUGUGGCGGUUUCACCCUCGUGGUUUUGAGGAGUUUUUGUUUAUCUUAUCAGUUAGAAUGUGACUAGUUUCUAAAUAAAGAUAAUUCUAUUUUUGGAAA